UAAACGUGUCACAUUCCAAGUA
rnacentral:siRNA from 1 species